CCCGCUUGCAGCGCCCCGGGCCACCGGCCUGCCGAAUGGGGGCGGGGGCGGCCCCCCGCCACCCCAGGGAGGUUCUUCGGUUCCCUUCGCGUCCCCUUCACCCCUGGCUGGUGGUCCCUCCCACCCCAGCGCGGUCUUUUGUCCCUGUCUGGUUCCUUCCACCCCCAGCUGGUUCCUUCCUUGAGACUAGAUCCCCCUACACCUCAACUCCGCGAUCCUAGUUCGUCCCCACCACCCGCCGUGGCGAUCUCUCCCACAGGCUGGACCCAUCCCUCCACCUCUGUGUGAUUUCUUCCGUCCCUGCUUUGUCCCCUUCACUCCCUAGCUGGUUCUUUCCUAGCCACUACUGCUUCCUCCAGUCCUCUAGAGGAAGGCGGAUAGACCCCUUUUGUAGCCCAGAAGACCCUGCUUUCUGCUGACCAUUGGGGACAGUGUCCAGUGGAGAUUCUCCUUUUUCUUUUUCCCAUUGUCUUAGGCCCGGCGACAGCACAGGGAGUACAGAGCAGAGGGACGUGGUCACCGGCUGAACCCGAAACAGAGGACUCAGUCAAGGCCUAGCCUGGAUGAAGGACAGACAGAGGAAGCAGUUAAGCACAGAAGGAAGACGGAAAGCAGGGUGGACGGAUGAUAUGGGUUACAGUUCAGAUGUUUCUGCUGAGCUCCUUAAAAUUCCUGGACCAGUUGCCUCAGUUUCCUCAACUGCAAAUGGGACCACACCAGAAACUGCAU